UGGGGAAUAUUGGACAAUGGGCGCAAGCCUGAUCCAGCCAUGCCGCGUGAGUGACGAAGGCCCUAGGGUUGUAAAGUCCUUUCGGUGGUGAAGAUAAUGACGGUAACCACAGAAGAAGCCCCGGCUAAUUUCGUGCCAGCAGCCGCGGUAAUACGAAGGGAGCUAGCGUUGUUCGGAAUCACUGGGCGUAAAGCGCACGUAGGCGGAUAGUUAAGUCAGGGGUGAAAUCCUGGGGCUCAACCCCAGAACUGCCUUUGAUACUGGCUGUCUCGAGGUCGAGAGAGGUUGGUGGAAUUCCUAGUGUAGAGGUGAAAUUCGUAGAUAUUAGGAAGAACACCAGUGGCGAAGGCGGCCAACUGGCUCGAUACUGACGCUGAGGUGCGAAAGCGUGGGGAGCAAACAGGAUUAGAUACCCGUGUAGUCCCUGAGCGGGCUGGCAAGGCGCAU
rnacentral:rRNA from 1 species